rnacentral:rRNA from 1 species
GACGAACGCUGGCGGCGUGCCUAAUACAUGCAAGUAAGACGCAGUUGCGAACGCGUGAGUAACGCGUAGGUAACUUCCUCUUAGAGGGGUAUAACUAUUGGAAACGAUAGCUAAUACCGCAUACUAGUAGAUUGACCUGCGUUGUAUUAGGUAGUAGGUAGGGUAAUGGCCUACCUAGGCGACGAUACAUAGCCGGCCUGAGAGGGUGAGAGGCCAACCUGGGACGAGGAAACGACCCUGACUGCUUCGGGAGGCAGCAGUAGGGAAUCUUAUGGAGUGGAGGGAAGCCUGACAGAGCAACGCCGCGUGAGUGACGAAGGUUUUCGGAUCGUAAAACUCUGUUGUUAAGGAGACGGUACUUAACCAGAAAGGGACGGCUAACUACGUGCCAGCAGCCGCGGUAAUAC